ensembl:lincRNA
ACGGUGAAUAAUUGAUGUGGUUUAUCAAAGACGAGCAAGAUGCAUGCUUCAUCAGGCUCACUUGAGCCCUUUGAUCAAAAAAAUUAUGCUGUGACUUCUGAUAUUAUCAGCAUCUGCUUGCAUUCAACACAAAAUCACUUUGAAUUAAAAAUUAACGACUUACUGCUUUGCUUUGACUGUGUGUUCUUGGCCUUCUCCACAGGGAACUCUAGAAUAUCAAGGGAGCAAGAGGAAGCCAAGAAAACUUGGCCAAAUCAAAGUGCUUGAUGGAGAAGACGAAUAUUACAAAGCUUUGUCACCUGUGGACUCGGUCCCUGAAGAAGACAACUCAGCCCACCCUUUUUUUCUGUCCUCAUCCUCAAAAUGAGAAUCUUAUGCUCAGUGCUGAACUGUACUUCCUGCCCCCAGAUCUGCCCAGGAUAAGAACAAUCAUGAUAAUUGACUGAGAAAGUAUUGAAAUGGGAUUAGCUGUAUCAUCACCAUCAGCUUCUUCAGACACACAUUCUGUGCCCAAGCCUUACUGAACAAUUUGCAGUUUCCUAAACAUUUUAUCACACCUGUCCUCUCCUCCCCACAUCUGCUGUGCAGCCUGAGCUGGGCAGUCCCUCUUUUUCUCAUCCCAUGGGUCCCCGUGAGACACUGAGCACACCUCUGCUAUAAUAAGAACCUCACUCAUGCUCCCAACAUCGACGAGGGCAAUGGGCAAUCUCACCAUAGGCCAGUCAUGAACCUUGAUAAUAAUUAUUUUCCUACCAAGUCACCUUUCAAUCCAUGCAGGAGCUACCCUAGUAGGUAUUCAGGAGACCCUUUUCCUCUUCUCUCCUCUCUGGCCCCACCUUGCUUGUCUUUUCUACCUCUCCCACCUUCCCCCAAGGUCAGGACUCCACUUCCCAUCCUGUAAGAGUGCCCCCACAGUCUCCACAGAAUCUUUCAGAUUCUUUCUACAAGGCAAGAAAAUCAUCUCUUGCUAAUUAUUAUGCUGAUAAAGCCUUUGCCUCCUUAUCUACCUUGCCAAGACAUUCCCAUUGCCUUAAUAGUAAAAAGGAAUGAGUGGGGGGGAAAAUUGGACCUAUCAAAGAGUCCAUAUUAAGUUGUUUUAUAACUGUGGUUGAUGGAAUCAUGUCCCCACAAAGACAUGAUCACAUCCUAAACACUGGCACAUGUGGGUAUGGAGUCAUUUGUAAACAGGAUUUUUAAAGAUUCUGUUUAUAUGAGACAAAAUUGAAUCAGGGUGGGCCUUAAUCCAAUAUGACUUAAUCCAAUAAGGAAUCCGAUAUUCCUUAUAAGAAGAGGAAAUCCACACAGAGACACAGACAACUGGACAUGGAAGCAGAAGCAUAAGAGAAGACAGAAGGAGACAGAUUACCUUGUGAUGAAGGAUUGCUGGCAAGCAACCAUCAGGAUGCUACAGACUUUCAGGAAAGCAUGGUCUACCAAUUCCAUGAUAUUGGACUCCUUACCUCCAAAACCAUGAGAUAAUAAAUUCAUGUUGUUUAAGCCAACCAGCCUGUGGUAUUUGUCAUAGCAGCCCUGGCACACAGUAACUUUCCAUUCACUGUCUGCUGUCUCUACUAGGCUAUGAGAGUUGGAGGAGAAUGGUCUUUAUCUUGUCUGUCUCUAUGUACAGGGAGCCUAGCACAGUACCUGACACAUAGUGGAUAACCAGCAAAUAUGGAAUGAAUAGAGAGACUUCAUUUGUUUAGACAAAAAUACAUAUGACAAGCAAGUUACUUUCAAUUAUAUCCUAUAUAUGAUUAACCUUUUUUCUUUUAAGGCCUGACUUUCUACUCAAGGUUGGACUAGUCUUAUUGUAAUAAUAUUAUACCAUAUAUUAUAAUACUCCAUAUGAUGCAAUACAACAAACAUUUUUGGAGUAACUACUUUAUGCAAAACAAUAUAUGAGAUUACUGUGUAAUAUAAAAUAAAUAAAUAAAAUUAAGUUUUUAAAAAAACUUACAAGAUCCUUUCUCUAGAACAGAUGUCCUCAACAUUUUUUCUUACUUUAAAAUACUUGGCAGAUAAUAUGCAUGGGAGUACCCAUUUUGAGAAAAAUAAACUUGAGGAAAUAUUUUUAAAAGAUUGUUAUCAGAGUUUUGAAGGGGGAAGGUAUUUAAGCUUUUUACAAGCAUAAAUAAUAAAAAGAGGCAUUAAAAGAUCUUAGAAAUUGUAAUUCUACAGGAAAAAGCAAUUAUUCAAUAAACUUUACUUUAUAAAAAUUAGUCUUGAUAUUUUUCCAGCUCUCUGCCCCAAAGGUAAUAUUUACAAGGUACACAAGUAGAGCAAUUGAAGUACAAAUGAAUUUUAUUUUAUUGCUAAAAUAAUGCUGAG